GACGAACGCUGGCGGCGUGCUUAACACAUGCAAGUCGAACGGUAAGGCCCUUCGGGGUACACGAGUGGCGAACGGGUGAGUAACACGUGGGUGAUCUGCCCUGCACUUCGGGAUAAGCCUGGGAAACUGGGUCUAAUACCGGAUAGGACCCUGGGAUGCAUGUCCUGGGGUGGAAAGCUUUUGCGGUGUGGGAUGGGCCCGCGGCGCUAUCAGCUUGUUGGUGGGGUGAUGGCCUACCAAGGCGACGACGGGUAGCCGGCCUGGGAGGGUGACCGGCCACAGGGGGACUGGGAUCGUGCCCAGACUCCUGCGGGAGGACGCGGUGGGAAAUAUUGCAAAUUGGGACAAAGCUGGAGGCAGCGACGCCGCGGGGGGGAGGCCGGCCUUCGGGUUGAAACCCUCUUUCAGCACCGACGAAGCGAAAGGGACGGUAGGGGCAGAAGAAGGACCGGCCAACUACGUGCAAGCCGCCGCCGUAA
rnacentral:rRNA from 1 species